AUUGAACGCUGGCGGCAGGCCUAACACAUGCAAGUCGAGCGAUUCUCUUCGGAGAAGAGCGGCGGACGGGUGAGUAACGCGUGGGUAACCUGCCCUGUACACACGGAUAACAUUCCGAAAGGUAUGCUAAUACGAGAUAAUAUGCUUUUAUCGCAUGGUAGAAGUAUCAAAGCUUUUGCGGUACAGGAUGGACCCGCGUCUGAUUAGCUAGUUGGUAAGGUAAUGGCUUACCAAGGCGACGAUCAGUAGCCGACCUGAGAGGGUGAUCGGCCACAUUGGAACUGAGACACGGUCCAAACUCCUACGGGAGGCAGCAGUGGGGAAUAUUGCACAAUGGGCGAAAGCCUGAUGCAGCAACGCCGCGUGAGCGAUGAAGGCCUUCGGGUCGUAAAGCUCUGUCCUCAAGGAAGAUAAUGACGGUACUUGAGGAGGAAGCCCCGGCUAACUACGUGCCAGCCGCCGCAGUAA
rnacentral:rRNA from 1 species